GAUAUUUCUCAUGAAAUGACACGCGCUUCGGAAACAAUUAAACAUAUCAAAAUAGCGCGUUAUUAUAAUAAAAGGCGAUGGGUUUGCCAUCAUCCAUCAUUCGUUCAGAUAACACACAAGAUGAACAAGGCAAUUCUUCUUCUACUUCUUAUCGGACUCCUCGUCCUUACCGAAACUACCCAAGCAUGGUGGUAUCGUCGCAGAUACCGUCAUACUAAAAGAACCGUUGUUAUUGGCGACCAACAAACAAUGGAAAAGUUUGAAGAAAUGCUUGAAAGCUUCCCAAGCCAAGAUGAAGAUCAACAAUAAUUCAACUGUGUAAACAAAGUAAUAUUCAAUGCAGUGUCGGCAUUUUAUUAAAACACCAUAAAUUA